rnacentral:rRNA from 1 species
GACGAAGGGGGCUAGCGUUGUUCGGAAUUACUGGGCGUAAAGCGCGUGUAGGCGGUUGUCCAAGUUGGAUGUGAAAGCCUUGAGCUUAACUCAAGAAAUGCAUUCAGGACUGGAUGACUAGAGGACCGGAGAGGAUAGUGGAAUUCCCAGUGUAGUGGUGAAAUACGUAGAGAUUGGGAAGAACACCAGUGGCGAAAGCGGCUCUCUGGUCCUAAACUGACGCUGAGGGGCGAAAGCGUGGGGAGCGAACGGG